AAAUAGUUAUCUCUACCUGAUUUAACCCAUACAUAUUUUUAUUAUUAUUAUACUUUUUUAUAUUAAUACAUUUCUUUUUUUCUUUUUUUUUUUGGUCAUUGGUCCAUAUUAAGUAAUAUUUUUUGAGUGGAAUAAAACCAGUUAAUUUAGAUGUUCACAAGUGAUUUCAAUACAAAUGAGGACAAGGAAAAACACUGAAAUAAAAAAAAAAUAAAAAAUAAAUGUAACAAAACUGCUGCCAAAAUAGUGUUCCAAAAUGGCCACUUAUGAGUUUCCAUUAUGUUUCGGACAGUUCCUUAGCAGGCAGCUGCCUAUGUAGGGAACAAAGAAGCCCCCUAGGUUUAGAAACAGAGCUUUAGACAUUGUAGAUCUCCGUUAUCUUGUUUCUUGGAAGGAUUUAGUGGUCACUUUCCUUUGCUCUCUCACUUAACCUCAAUUCUAAAUCUCUUAGAAUAUGUUUGAAUAACCUCAGAUUUCAGAUUGCAGCCAUGAUCCUGAAAAGGUAAUCAUUGCUGACCCCUAUCCCAACAGUCUGGAAGAGGUUCUGAACUCGAGGCCUGAAGGCAACCUUAUCUACUCCAUCAACAAUCACCCACCCUGGUACCUCUGCAUUCUUCUGGCUUUCCAGCAUUACGUACUGGCGUUCAGUGGCAUCCUGGCAAUUCCUCUCAUCUUAGCAGAGCUGCUGUGCAUCAAUGUCAGCUCAUCUUAUUCAUCUCGGGCAUGAGCACUUUGCUACAGAUCACCCUCGGGACCAGGUUGCCGAUCCUCCAAGGGGGGACGUUCCCCUUCAUUACCCCGGCCUUGGCUAUCCUCGCCCUUCCCAAGUGGAGAUGCCCAAACACCAGGGCCACUUCUCACCUCAAUGCCACAGAUUCUGCAGCGCUCCUCGUGGAUGGCCAUGAGAUGUGGAAAGUCUGCAUCCAUGAGUUAAUAUCUAGGGGGCCAUUCUACUGGCCUCAAUGCUUCAGCUUGUUCUGGGCCUGUCGAGUCUCGUGGGACUAGUGCUGAGGUUCAUCGGGCCGCUGGCCAUUGCUCCCACCAUCAACCUCAUCGGACUGUCUCUCUUAAUCCAGACGGGGCAGAAGUCAGGAGCCCACUGGGGAAUUGCAGCUUUGUGGGUUACUGUAGAGUUAUGGGUAAAUUUGAGAGCCGAGUCCAUACGGUAAUUUGUAUUUCUGAUUGUGUAGGUCUUCUGCAGACUAUGCAAUGCAUGGAUCCUUUAAAAACAAAACGUGUUUAUCUGUAGAGAUGAAUCCUCUUUACUGUUUUCAUUUACAUGAUAAUACAUCACUCAGAUCCUUUGCUGACAAAUGUUGUUCAUUACUCAUCCUCAUGCAUUCCUAAGAGGAUACAUUAAUGUUGAUUAGGUUUAAGUGUCUCGUCCCUCAGACCCUCCCUGUCCAUGUGCCUCUGCCAAAGGUUUAAGGCACAUAUGUGACCCUGGACCACAAAACCAGUCUUAAGUCGCUGGGGUAAAUUUUUUGCAAUAGCCAAAAAAUCCUUGUGUGAGUCAAAAUUAUCGCUGUGGAAUUGUGACUUCACAUCGGUGUAAUAGUUUAGGAGAUGGAUAUACUGUGAAACUACAUACAUACAAUAUGUUAUAACAUUUGAAAGCACGACUGAAUGUCUAUGAAACGUCGUUCAAUAAUGCAAAUUUGAAAUAACGGCACCUAAACAUUUGAACUAAUUUUUUAUUGCAACCAUAUGUAUUAUGGAGGACGAGAAAUUACUUAAGCAUAAAUAAAUGAAUGAAUAAAUACAUAAAUGCAAAAAUAAAUAAAUGUAGAAAUACAUAAAUAAAUAUAUAUAGAAAUUAAUAUAGAAAUACAUUAAUAAAUGUAUGCAUGAAAAUGAACAUUAUUUUAGUGAAAGAGAACAUAUAGCAGUGUGGGCUGCUUUUAGUGUCUGAAUUUGUUUUUAAAUAAUGAGGUCCAAGUUUAAUAGUUUAUAUACAAAAAAUGUAUUUAUAAGUAAAUUUUAAAACAAUGUAUAGGUUUUUUUUCACUAUUGAACAACAUUCACUAACGAUAGUGAAAGACGUCUUCCCUCAUGUAGAUUGUAUGUUCUCCAGUUGGAUGUUGGACAUCUCUGCAUUCGCCCAAAUCCCAAUCCCUGUGAAUCGGUAGCGUCUGAGGCGGCAGAGGUUUUAAAGCCUCCCUAGAAGCUACGUUUGCAAUUUAAACAGUGAUUUGUAAAAAGAAAAAAUAAUUUGUUAUUUGUAAGGUCUAGGGGGUCAUUCGGCGUAUGCCUGAAAAUAUGGGACAACCUGUGUUCCAUAUAGCUUUAAUACAGAACGCUUCUCUGAUGCAUUACAUACAGAUGAUUCCAUAUUAUGUGUAACGGUUGACACCCCAAUUUCAAAUGCAAAAGAAAAUUGUCUGGGGGGCCCCAUAGUGUUUGGUGCCCUGGGCUGCUGAGGUCAAAAAUGCCUUUAGAGCUCAGAAACGAUUGCAGAGUUCAGAAAAAAAAUCUGCUGAAUUGAAUGUUCACAGAAGCACAUAGUCUUCAUUACCCUUAAUGGAAGAAGUUUGAAACAUCCAGGAACUCUUCCUCAAGCUGGCCUCCUGGCCAAACUGAUCAAUUGAUGGAGAAGUGCUUUGGUUAAGAGUGGUGACCAGUAAGCUGAUGGUCACUCUAGUUGAGCUCCAUGACCAUAUGUAGAGAUGUGAAAUACUUACAGAAGGACAAACAUCGCUGCACGCUCCACCGAUCUAGGCUUUAUGGUGGUGUGGCAAGACUUAGUCCUCUCCUCGGUGAGCAAAAAUCCAAAAAACAUGAAAAAGAUGAUCUGGUCUGAUGGACCUCAGUUCCAAGCACCAUGUUUGAAGGAAACCAGGCACUGCUCAUCACCUGCAGAGAAUAGACGACUAUGUCAAUGUCAUCAAAUGGCACAGCCAGAUCCUGGGCUUGAACCCAGUCAAAUAUUUCUGGAGAAACCUGCCCCAUCCAACCUGACAGAGCUUAAGAGGUGAAGAGGUGAGGAGAAAAAUGGCAGAUAAUUGCCAAAUGCACAUGUGCAAAGCUUGUUGCAUCAUACCAAAAAAGACUUGAGGCUAGAAAGGUGCUUCAGCUAAGUACUGAGUUAAUGGAAUGAAUACUUAUUUUUAAUACAUCUUCAAAGUUGCGACAGGUCAGUUUUUGCUUUGCCAUUGUGGUGGAUGGAGUGUAGACUGACGUGGAGAAAAAUGUCAUUUAAAGCAGUUCAACAUAAGGCAGCAACAUAACAAAAAAAUUAAGGUGUAUGAAUAAUUUCGCAAGGCACUGUAUAUAAAUAUAUAUAUAUAUAUAUAUAUAUAUAUAUAUAUAUAUAUAUAUAUAUAUAUAUAUAUAUAUAAGUCCAUCAAGCCUACACCAAGAACCGUAAGGCAGAUAAGAUCCAGCGAUUUCCGAAAGAGCUGGGGAUGCUGAAGAAGUGGUUCAAGGCAGCAGAUGAAGAGGAGAGGUCACCUCUCGCUGAGCUUCAUAUACCAUUAGGAAGAAGCUCAUAACCCUGCAAUGCACGGGAGAUGCAGGAUUGAGAAAGCUAGGAGGCAAACCUCCUUUUUAGCCACCUUUGGCUUUACGAAGUGGCAGGAGCAAUAAGCUCCAGCUUCCUAUUAGUAGUCUGGAGAAGAAGUUCAAGGUCUCUUGCAUAAUAGAGGCAGUGGUUUACCGAGGCUCCAGAGACUCCAGAGUGGUGUUGAUGAGCACUGAGGUGUGGACUAGUAGGAAGUGGAGAGCGAAAGAGGUGCUACAGAUGGCAGAGUGCUGAAUGAGACACAAAGUUUAUGUGGGAACAGUGGCAGGGGGCGAGCAGGGCUGGGAUUCACCCCCCAGUCUUGGUACGCUGAGGCAUGUGGAAAGGACAGAUGCCCUGCAGGAGGUCCUUGUAGGCGUAGAGGAGGUGAGGACCAGCAGGAUGGUAAACCUGCAUCAGCAGGGGGCAUGGAUGUGAAGGAGUGCUUGAGAAGAAACUGACCUGGAAUGACUUCUGAAAGGCAG
ensembl:lncRNA